rnacentral:lncRNA from 1 species
UAUUAAUAAUAUAGUUAUCUUUCAAGUUAUCCCUACACUAUUGUAAACAUAUGUAUUAAGAGUAAUGUGAUAUGGAAGAGAGUUGUCUUCAACCAUGCUCCCCUUUCUAUCUCUUUCCCGUGACUUUUUUCCUAACAAUUAUCCUCCUUCAGCUAACAAUUUUCCUCACCAUUUCACUAACUUGAUGAUCAUUGGAGUAUCCCCUAUUUUAAAAAACUUGUUUUGCAAGAAGACACCAAGGCCUAACAUUCAAGCCCAAAGCCCAGUAUACAUUUGAAGUGAUAUAGUGUUGGAGUUGCAGUUCUUGGAUCAAAGAUUUAGCAUUGUCAGAUAUCGCAAUGGAGAGAGUGCUUAUGACCUGAUUUGUGGGUGUAAACAUCCCCAAUUGCUCAAACCUUUACCAUCGCUCAUGAAAGCCCCCUCAACCUGCAAAAUUCAAGGGAUAGAGAAAACCUUUCUAUGUUCAUUCAUGGAAAAAUUUUACUGUACUGAGUGACAAGGUCGUAUAAAUUACAUUUGAAGGGUGAUCAGAGUUAACUUGGAGAGAGUCAAAAAGGAAAAAAAAAAGCUGGUAAGAAGAGGGGGCUGUUCCAAUAGAGAAGGAUCUAAACUUCUUUCAGAGUUUUGAGAUCAGAUGAUAUAGAAAGAGGUAGGAGGACACACUCUGUUUGUCAAGAAGGAUUGGGAGAAGGAUGGAUAAGAGGGGAGAGAUUGAGGAAGAGGGAUUGGGAGUAUUAUCAUACGUUUGACAAGAAGGAUAAGGGUUCGAGGAUUCCAUCUUCCAAUUUGGAUAAUUUGAAUGCAUUACUCUCAUCCUUGUUAGCCAAACAACUAGAGGGAUAGUAAGUCAUCCCUCCACUUUACCCAAUCCAUCCUUCCUAACAAACAUAGCUUAAAAGAAAUAUAGCUUUAAACAGAGAAGGAAUUCUCAUGGUGUAUGGAGGGUUCUGUCUGGUACAUGUCAUGCUUUAUUGCAGAACUCUGCACGGUUUGAGAAGGAACUGCAUGUUGCUUUUGGUCUUUAGGCAUGGUGCUCAUGACAACGUCAUUUCGUACACUGAUCUCCCAGGAACAGAUGCAGAAUUGCUUGACCUAGCUAGGUACUAAUCUCUUUUACUUAAAAAGGUCCUUUCUUCUAUUUCUGCUGAUUUAACGUGCAGGUAUCGACCGUCAGUAGGCAGGACUCCAGACAAGAUUGAUGUACUUGUAAUCAUGCUGUUAUGAAAUUGCAAAUAGAAUUCUGAAUAGAAGAUUGAACUAGGCUAGUGUUAUAUGGUGAGAUGUCUUUGAAACUUCCUACUCCUUGAACCAAAUUCAUGAAACUUCUUUCACUCUACUGUCAAUUUGAUAUCACCAUUCUUGCCGGCUCAAUGCAUCUCUUUAAUCACAUUUCUUUGUCUGUGCUGUUUCUUCUCUUGGUAUAGAAGGCAUGACUUGCUCCACAACUUCAUCUAGGUUUGAUGUGAUUUUUUAGUUUUAAUAGAUAAAUGAUCUGAUGAACGAUUCUGUCAAAUAGUAAUUUCUGCAAGAUUAAAAUAUAUUGCCAAAAUCAAGCUAAGGAGCUCCUUGAUUAAAAAAUGCCAUUGCAUAUUAGUAAUAUGUGCUGGAUUAUUGAAGAGAAAACAAAACUUUCUUAUUGUAGAUGCAGCAGAACACAACCUUUAUUGAAUUUCAAUUCGUUUAUUUAUACAAUAAGGAAAAACAGAAUUGCAAGAUAUUCUCCAAGCAUAUCUGAUUUUCUGUUACAUAGAAGAUAGCCAUUAGAAUAACAACAGUAAACAAACUCUGAUACUAUAAACAAACUCAGAUUCUGCUGAGAUUUUAUUUUGCUUCUAGAGUCAUUCUUGGUCAACACAUGUUAGUAAUAUGUGCUGGAUUUUCUUUGCCAAUUGAGCUGCACAGAGGGGAUGUCCUUCGGAAAGUGAACUUCUGUGUUCAAGGGGGAGCAGUCCUCAUCACAGCUCACAUUUGUGACUUGUCUACCUUAUACCUUGCUAUAAAUUCCUUGAACCAAGUAGCUGAUAAUUUUGGAGUUCUCUUCAGUGUAGUGAAAUCAACAUGGUAAAGUCCGUAUCUCUGUGUAUAACCACGUGUCCACUCAAAAUUAUCAAGCAACGACCAGGCAAAAUAGCCCCUCACGUCUGCUCCUUUCCUGAUCAAAAGUAAAAUAAAAGGGCGUAAGCUUUCAGUUGUAUUUUGUUUGUAAAACUCUGAAGUAGCUCUGAAAAGGGAUGCAGUUUAUGGAAAAUGACCAUGGUAAUAGCGAGUUGAGUCUAUAUGAUGUAUAAAAGGUAAAAUGCAAACACAAUAUGAACUUACUCCAUUGCUGUCAACAAGGAAUCCCAGUAGUUAGAAAUAAACUCCACCCUUUCUAUAUCAUGACAAACAAUAGUGAGGUUUGGAUUGUUCUGCUGGCCAUACCCUACAAAACACAUUGCACUUGUAUGAGAAAGACAUUAAAAAGUUUGUCUGCUUUAAGGAACUCAAUUCAUACAUACCAUUCUCUGUAAUGAUCAUUGGUUUGUUAUUGUAUCUCUUCUUUAUAUAGGUAACCAUCUUCUCCAUUCCUUGUGGAUAAAAAUGCAGCCAGUCCACAUCAGUCUACAUAGACCAAAAACCAUUAGCAAAUUCCUGAGAAGGCAACAUUAAUUCUCAUGAUUGGGUUAACUUGAGAGGAUACGUACAGGUAUGCCGAUGGGAGCUCCAUCUUUUUCUUGGCUUCUCCGGGCAAGCCCUUCUGUCCUGGAGGCUCCUGUUCCGGGUUCACAAACGGAGAAGAUGCAGUCUUGGACGUAUUCACUGGUGUAAUGAUUGAUGCCAAUGAAAUCCAGUCCGUUCUUCAGUUUCUCUUUGUCAUUACUUGAAAAUUUCGGUAAAGUAGACCCUAGAAUUUUAGACAUUUCUGCGGGAUAAUUUCCAAAUAUGAUGGGGUCCAUGAACCUGCAUUGUACUUGAGAUUCAACAGGUUUCAUAUGCUAAAUGGAUUUACAAACAUUAAAACAGGCAUUAAAGAAAUAAACCAGUUCAGGUAGAAGUCUCGAGCUCUGUCAGCGGCUAACUUGUCUGCUGUGGAAUUGCUUAUUUGUUCAAACCACGUGCAAUCUAAGACAAUUCCAAUGCUGCCUCCUUGCUCUUUCUGAAUAAUUAAACAGUAAGUAGUAGUAAGCUUAUCCGUCCUGAGCGUCUGCUUUCCUUAUAUUAUUUUUAGUUGCCCCGCAAAUGAUAUCUAAGAAAUUGUUUUAUUGUUAAUACCUGGUAUUUAGUUCUGUAAACACCAACUGCUGUUGCAUGUGCUAAAAUCAUAUUAUGUGCUGCAAUAAAGGGCUCCUUCUCUGAAUCCCCAUGAGUGCAAUUUCCGAAAGGGCUGGAGCAGCGACAUGGUGGGUAUUCACCUAAUCGAUAGGAUUUAAUAGUUUGUAUAUUUGGCUCAUUGAAGGUGGUCCAGUGCUUCACUCGAUCUCCGAAAUUCUUGAAACAAACAUCUGCAUAAUAUCCAAAAUCCUUCCUGAUUG